GCCUUAUAAAGAACCCUGCGGAGAGAGCUGACCUGAAGAUGCUGAUGAACCACACCUUCAUCAAGCGGUCGGAGGUGGAGGAGGUGGACUUUGCGGGCUGGCUGUGUAAAACCAUGGGCCUGAACCAGCCCAGCACCCCCACCCGCACCGCGGUCUGACCUGCGGCUGAGCAACCGGCCGUCUGUCUGUCUGUCUGUCUGUCUGACUGUCUGUCUGCACACGCCACUGGGAUAUACAGCGCUCUCUCUCACGCACACUCUCUCUGUCUCUGUCUCUCUCUCUCACGCACUCUGUCACGCACUCUAUCCCUCUCUCUCUCCCUCUCAUCUCUUUCUCUCUGUCUCACGCUCACGCCCUCUCUCUCUCUCUCUCACACACUCCAUCUCUCUUUUGUACACGCAUAUACAUACCCGCCCACAGACACGCACGCGCACUCAAUUCGUCCCUCCCCCCCUCCUUCUCCCCUCUCCUCCCCUCCGCUGUCUCAUGCAGAAGAACCCUUAGGUUCCCCUUGUGCGUUGGGCUGCCACGCGGUGUGAGUCUCUGCGUUUGUUGCCUCAUCUGCGGCUUCUGUGGUUUCCUGCUUCAGGAGACACAAGCGUGCCCAUUCAGAAACCAUGCGUAGGAUUUCACACGAGAACUGCGAAUCUCGAGGAACUGACAGAGGAGAGGGAGGAGAGGGGGAGAGGAGGGGAGAGGAGGGCUCAGAAAACGUUGGCGGGUCAUUUUUAACACCAGCGAAACCAAUGAUGCUCAUCGCUGGUUUAAAUGAGACUUGGAGCCUUUUCCUGCUGCACCACUGAUUUCGUACACCAACCAGAUAUUCAACUCCUGCAUUAAUUUCUUAGGUUCUGCUGCUCGUUGCAGUGCUGAACAUCCGUCGCCUCGGUGUUGUGCUAGGCCUCACCCCUUAGUGGGUUUUCAGAAGUGACAUCAAAGUGUAAGGUCACGGCAUCAGUGGUAGGGAGGCAAAGCUUGACACUCCAUUUUAAGAACACAGAGUAUCUGGUGGAUGUGUAGCAUCUGUGGCUGUACUGCCAUUUUGUGCGUUUCUGUAUGUGGGGCUGUAACCGCUCGGAGAGAGGUUCUCUCCAAAUGCGCUGUCGGUUAGAUAGUCCCGUCACCGAGAGGAGCAGGGAAGCCUUGGUCGUCGUUUUCACAAUCCGAGAUUGAGAAUUUGAAUAUUGACUUUCAAGUUUUUUUGUACUUCUUUUUCUCUCUGUUCUUCGAACGUACCGAACCAAGUGUCCGUAUAGACCGUGCUCAUGGUAUUAGUCCGAUGGGUUAUGUUCAAGUGGGAGUCUUUUUUUGUUGAUUUGUUUUGGAUAACUAUGAUUAUGCCCUAACUUUAAACCAAAUCUUUCACACUGAUCUUUGUAUCCGCACAGCAGGGUUCAUACGAGUAUUUGUACUGAUUAUUUAAAGCAGUAUUGUAAUAGCUUUGGGAGAUGACGUUAUUGUUUGGCUUGAGGGAUGCUCGGAGAGUUAUGGAAGAGUUUGUGCAGAAGGGUCCCUGAGGGUAAGAGCCAUAUUCCACCUGUUGGGUUCGAGUGACUGGUGAUUGGUUUCCCUGGUUACUGGGUCUCUGUGAUUGCCGGCUGAAUUUGCACCCAUCCACAGCCACCAUUACACAAGCGCAUUACACAGACACACACACACACACACACACACACACACACACACCUGCACAUUACAUUUUCACAUUUUGCCCUCUUUAUUCGAAUGUGAUUCUCGGUUCAGUUCGGGUGUGUUUUCACCUCUGCAUUUCUGAAAAAAAACAGUCACGUCCCGUUCUCGUCCGCUGUGUCCUGCGGCUGUUCUCCUGGGCUGUGAUGAGUGCAGGGCGUUUAGAUGAAGAUGCAGAACCUCGGCGAUGCAAACCCCACGUUCCCGGGCAGAGCGGUCUGAACCUGGGGACACGGCGGCCAUUUUGAGUCUACUCGUACAAAACCUGCUCUCGUCCCUGCUGCCCGAAACCAAGCCUCAAACAGACCGGUCUCACGCCCCGUUCAUUAAAGAACAGCUCGCACUGCGCGUUCAUCCCCGACUCAACGGACGGGAGCGAAGAACAAAACCAGAGCUGGAAACAAAAUGUCGGAUUGAGUUGUGGCUUGAUUAUCGGGUAACUUCUAAUCAUGUUUAUUACUGCAAAAUAAAGUUGUGGAAAAAUGCACGGCAGAGCAACGCACGUGAUCUUCCACUCGAUGAUCCGCAUUAAAAUGGCUGCAUUUUGGAUUCUUUCCCCUCCCGAUCCAUCCCUGGUUUCCCGAGUGUUUGCAUCUCUGAGAUUCAGCUGUCUAAAUGCAGGUGUGUGUGUGUGUGUGUGUGUGUGUCUACACACGUGGCUGCAUAUUCACGUGUAAACACAAAUACGCAAAUCAAGUGUGUCCAUGGCGUGUUGGGUCCGUGCUCUGCUGGCUGGACCGCCGGGGUUUGGAUGUAACGUUGAGUGUUAAAACGGAUGUGAUCAGACCGAGAUGGAGGACCACGCGCUGAACAGACCACGGCUCUGUGGGAGGGAGGGAGGGGGGCGGAGACACAGAGGGAUGCUUUUCCCAUUCGCACGCCCAGCACGCUCUGCCCUGAUUGGCUCCGGCUCGUCUCGCUGGACUUCUGCACCAAUCAGAGGAGAGUUUAUUGAGCGUCCCCUAGUUGUCGGGCUUCUUCAGUCUCAGGUUUAGUUUGCUUUUCUUGGUAAGAGAUGCAUGAUGACAAUAUUUAAUAUUUGGUGAAGGGAGGAACAUAUAUAUAUAUAAAUGUAUAAUAUAUAUUUUCCAGAGUCGGGCUGUGGGGGUAGACUGCAUUGCUAUGGUGAUGAUGGGGGCAUUUGGGGGCCGGGAGCUCUGUGGGGUUUUUUUUUUGUUGUGGAUUUAUUUCUUAACCGUUUUAAGUGGAGGUGGUUUGUACUAAAGCAAAAAAAAAAAGAGAAACUGUUAAAAGCUCAUCUCCUUUAUUAUAAUUUUUUUAAAGAGUCAUUAUUGUCAAUAAACGUCACGUUACAUAAAGACAAA